rnacentral:misc_RNA from 1 species
GAUGAAGAACGUAGUGAAAUGCGAUAAGUAAUGUGAAUUGCAGAAUUCAGUGAAUCAUCGAAUCUUUGAACGCAUCUUGCGCUCCUUGGUAUUCCGAGGAGCAUGCCUGUUUGAGUGUCAUUUUAACUUCUCAACCAUAUCGAAUUGUUUUUCGAGGUGGCUUGGACAUGGGGGUUUUUGCAGGCUUUAAUAAUGAAGUCGGCUCCUCUGAAAUGCAUUAGUGGUAUCUGAAGCAGAACUGCUACUAUUAGGUGUGAUAAUUAUCUAUGCCUCUUGGUAUACUGCAUGAACAGAUUACGCUGCUUCCAACUUGUACACCCUUUGGUGUUUGACAAAUUUGACCUCAAAUCAGGUAGGACUACCCGCUGAACUUAAGCAUAUCAAUAAGCGGAGGA